rnacentral:rRNA from 1 species
UACGGGGGGGGCAAGCGUUGUUCGGAAUUACUGGGCGUAAAGAGCGCGCAGGCGGUCGAUCAAGUCGAGUGUGAAAGCCCCCGGCUCAACUGGGGAGGGUCAUUCGAUACUGAUCGACUCGAAGGCAGGAGAGGGUAGUGGAAUUCCCGGUGUAGUGGUGAAAUGCGUAGAUAUCAGGUGGAUACCGGAGGCGAAGGCGGGUAACCAGCUAGACACUGACACUCAGAUCCGAAGUGUGGGGAUCAAACAGG